AAGGCACCCAAUUCUCUGAUGGGGAGGCUGGAAGAUGGCAGCCCCUGGAAUGGGGAGAUCUUCAGGCAGACCUACGGGUAGUUUGACAUAAACUCAUAGAACGAUAACGCAUUGCUCAAGAACUACAGGCUGCUCUACUGCUUCCGGAAGGACAUGGACAAGGUCGAGACAUUCCUGCGCAUUGUGCAGUGCCGUUCUGUGGAGGGCAGCUGUGGCUUCUAGCU